rnacentral:rRNA from 1 species
GAUCCUGGCUUAGGAUGAACGCUAGCUACAGGCUUAACACAUGCAAGUCGAGGGGCAGCAUGUGGUGCUUGCAACCAAUGAUGGCGACCGGCGCACGGGUGAGUAACGCGUAUCCAACCUUCCCUAUAGUAGAGGAUAGCCCGGCGAAAGUCGGAUUAAUACUCUAUGUUUUCCAAUGCAGACAUCUAAAAUGGAACAAAGGUUCACCGCUAUAGGAUGGGGAUGCGUCUGAUUAGAUAGUCGGCGGGGUAACGGCCCACCGAGUCGACGAUCAGUAGGGGUUCUGAGAGGAAGGUCCCCCACAUUGGAACUGAGACACGGUCCAAACUCCUACGGGAGGCAGCAGUGAGGAAUAUUGGUCAAUGGGCGAGAGCCUGAACCAGCCAAGUAGCGUGCAGGAUGACGGCCCUAUGGGUUGUAAACUGCUUUUAUACAGGGAUAAAGUGACGUACGUGUACGUUUUUGUAGGUACUGUAUGAAUAAGGACCGGCUAAUUCCGUGCCAGCAGCUGC